GUGCUGCUACAGUACUGACUCUCACAGCUCUCCUCAGCUCAGCAGCCUCCAUGUGUGAGAGAGUUUAUCACCGAGGGACAAUGGAGCAGCCGGGGGGGUCUGUGUCCAGUGUCCACUGUCCGCUGCUCCAACACCCCACAGCUCUAAUUGAUGCUUUGUCCGUCCACGUCUCGCCUCGUUAGAGCCCAGAGAGACAGCAGGCCGGAACAAAUCCAACAUGUCAUCUGCACUCAGGUGAGGACGUGGGUCCAGAGCUUUCUGAUGUUGAUGAUACUGCAUCAGGAACUGAUUGGAGCGCGAUGACCGGCCAACAGUUCCUAAUGCACUGCCUUCAGCAUUGAAAGACGCUGCAGACACGGAGGCUGAAUCACCAACCUGCUGCACAACAACCAGAGCUGUGACCUGGAGGUGGACUCUGGGUUUAUCAGGAAACAGCUGCAGAGACUGCAGAGCAGAAACCAGGAGCUAAAAGAGGCUGAAACUCUCUGCGCAGCUGCAGAGAUGAUGGAUAUUCUCAGUGGACACU